rnacentral:rRNA from 1 species
GUGGGGAAUAUUGGGCAAUGGGGGGAACCCUGACCCAGCGACGCCGCGUGGGUGAAGAAAUCCUUCGGGAUGUAAAGCCCUGUUGUAUGGGAAGAGCAGAAGACGGUACCAUACGAGGAAGCCCCGGCAAACUACGUGCCAGCAGCCGCGGUAAUACGUAGGGGGCAAGCGUUGUCCGGAAUUACUGGGCGUAAAGCGCACGCAGGCUGACUUAUAAGUCGGUAGUCAAAGGCGGAGGCUCAACUUUCGUUUAUCGAUCGAUACUGUAAGACUAGAGUAUGUGAGAGGGAAGUGGAAUUCCCGGUGUAGCGGUGAAAUGCGUAGAUAUCAGGAGGAACACCAGUGGCGAAGGCGACUUCCUGGCACAAUACUGACGCUCAUGUGCGAAAGCUAGGGUAGCGAACGGGAUUAGAAACCCGUGUAGUCC